UACGAAGGGUGCUAGCGUUGUUCGGAAUCACUGGGCGUAAAGCGCACGUAGGCGGAUGUGUCAGUCAGGGGUGAAAUCCCGGAGCUCAACUUCGGAACUGCCUUUGAUACAGCACAUCUGGAGUCCGGAAGAGGUGGGUGGAAUUCCUAGUGUAGAGGUGAAAUUCGUAGAUAUUAGGAAGAACACCGGUGGCGAAGGCGGCGCGCUGGUCCGGUACUGACGCUGAGGUGCGAAAGCGUGGGGAGCGAACAGG
rnacentral:rRNA from 1 species